rnacentral:lncRNA from 1 species
AGGGUUCGGUGGAGCGUUGCGUGAAGCGUCUGUGUCUCUGCGAGAUCUUGCUGUGGGCCAGGUAUCCAUUCUCCUGCGGCAGCUUAGACCCUACGGAGACUAGAGGUCCGUGGGUGGUGGAGGAUCCUUUGCGUAGCAAAAAAGGAAGGCGAGUGCUCCUGCAUCCUCUCCAGACGGUACCCAGGGUCUCACUUUUCAGCUCUGGCUGUUCUGGAACUCACUGACAUUCCCCUCCGCCUACAGAGUGCUGGGAUUAAAGGUUUGCUUUGAGCACCUCGUCAUUAAACCACUGAUCAUUGAGGCCUCUUUCAAGUAUGAGGUGUCUAACAUUAAUAUUUUCAAGACUAGGGAUGCAGUUCAGUGGUAA